rnacentral:rRNA from 1 species
AGCGAACGCUGGCGGCAGGCUUAACACAUGCAAGUCGAACGGGCUUCUUCGGAAGUCAGUGGCAGACGGGUGCGUAACACGUGGGAACGUGCCCUUCGGUUCGGACUAACUCAGGGAAACUUGAGCUAAUACCGGAUACGCCCUUUUGGGGAAAGGUUGACUGCCGCAGGAUCGGCCCGCGUCUGAUUAGCUUGUUGGUGGGGUAACGGCCUACCAAGGCGACGAUCAGUAGCUGGGCUGAGAGGAGGAUCAGCCACACUGGGGCUGAGACACGGCCCAGACUCCUACGGGAGGCAGCAGUGGGGAAUAUUGGACAAUGGGCGCAAGCCUGAUCCAGCCAUGCCGCGUGAGUGAUGAAGGCCUUAGGGUUGUAAAGCUCUUUUGUCCGGGACGAUAAUGACGGUACCGGAAGAAUAAGCCCCGGCUAACUUCGUG